UAAUUUAAAUCUUAUUUAGUAAAGUAUUUCAUUUACAUUGAAAUUUUAUUUGUGCAAUUCAAAUUAAAUUAA
rnacentral:tRNA from 1 species